rnacentral:rRNA from 1 species
UCGGGAAUUUUGGGCAAUGGGCGAAAGCCUGACCCAGCAACGCCGCGUGGAGGAUGAAGAUCUUCGGGUCGUAAACUCCUUUCGAUCGAGACGAACAGUCUCCGGGUGAACAAUCCGGAGGUUUGACGGUACCGAGAGAAGAAGCCCCGGCUAACUCCGUGCCAGCAGCCGCGGUAAUACGGGGGGGGCAAGCGUUGUUCGGAAUUACUGGGCGUAAAGGGCUCGUAGGCGGCCAACUAAGUCAGACGUGAAAUCCCUCGGCUUAACCGGGGAACUGCGUCUGAUACUGGAUGGCUUGAGUUUGGGAGAGGGAUGCGGAAUUCCAGGUGUAGCGGUGAAAUGCGUAGAUAUCUGGAGGAACACCGGUGGCGAAGGCGGCAUCCUGGACCAACACUGACGCUGAGUGAGCGAAAGCCAGGGGAGCAAA